GCCCGCUUAGCUCAGCGGUAGAGCGCCUCACUAGUAAUGAGGAGGGAGCAAAGCGCCCUCACUCACUCACUCCCUCUCUCACUAGUUCAUGAGGAGGCAACUGGUUCGACUCCAGUAGUGGGCA